rnacentral:rRNA from 1 species
UUUAAUAGCUGCAGUAAUUUGACUGUACAAAGGUAGCAUAAUCAAUAGUUUUUUAAUUAGAAGCUUGUAUGAAGGGCUGGACGAGAUAAAAUCUGUCUUUAUUUAAUUAUAGUAGAAUUUAAUUUUUAAGUUAAAAAGCUUAAAUAUUAAUAAUAGACGAGAAGACCCUAUAGAGUUUUAUAUUUUUAUUAAUAAUAUUUAAUUUGGAUUUAUUUAUUUUAUUUUUAAUAAAAUAUUUUAUUGGGGUAAUAUAAAGAUUAAAUUAAUUCUUUUUAUUUAUAAAUAUUAAUUUAUAUAUAAUUGAUCUAUAAAUUUUGAUUAAAAGAAUAAGUUACCUUAGGGAUAACAGCGUAAUUUUUUUUGAGAGUUCAUAUCGAUAAAAAAGUUUGCGACCUCGAUGUUGGAUUAAAGAUUAGUUUAAAUGCAAAAGUUUAAAUUUUUGGUCUGUUCGACCAUUAAAUCUUUACAUGAUCUGAGUUCAGACCGGUUUAAGCCAGGUCGGUUUCUAUCUUUAUUUAAUUAUAAUAUUUUAGUACGAAAGGACCAAAUAUUAAUUAUAAUAAUUUAAUUUUGAACUUUAUU